rnacentral:rRNA from 1 species
UACCAGCUCCCCGAGUGGUUAGGAUGUUUAUUGGGCCUAAAGCAUCCGUAGCCGGUCUUGUAGGUCUCCUGUUAAAUCCACCAGCUCAACUGUUGGGCCGCAGAAGAUACCGCAAGACUAGGAGGCGGGAGAGGUGGACGGUACUUUAUGGGUAGGGGUAAAAUCUUUUGAUCCAUAGAAGACCACCAGUGGCGAAGGCGGUCCACCAGAACGCGCUCGACGGUGAGGGAUGAAAGCUGGGGGGAGCGAACCGGAUUAGAUACCCGGGUAGUCCCAGUUGUAAACGAUGCGAGCUAGGUGAUGGGGUGGCUGCGAGCCAUCCCAGUGCCCCAGGGAAGCCGUUAAGCUCGCCGCCUGGGAAGUACGACCGCAAGGUUGAAACUUAAAGGAAUUGGCGGGGGAGCACCACAAGGGGUGAAGCCUGCGGUUC